rnacentral:rRNA from 1 species
GACGAACGCUGGCGGCGUGCUUAACACAUGCAAGUCGAGCGGUAAGGCCCUUUCGGGGGUACACGAGCGGCGAACGGGUGAGUAACACGUGGGCGACCUGCCCUCAGCUCUGGGAUAAGCCUGGGAAACCGGGUCUAAUACUGGAUAUGACUCCAUGACGCAUGUUGUGGGGUGGAAAGCCUUGUGCGGCUGAGGAUGGGCCCGCGGCCUAUCAGCUUGUUGGUGGGGUGANGGCCUACCAAGGCGACGACGGGUAGCCGGCCUGAGAGGGCGACCGGCCACACUGGGACUGAGACACGGCCCAGACUCCUACGGGAGGCAGCAGUGGGGAAUCUUGCGCAAUGGGCGAAAGCCUGACGCAGCGACGCCGCGUGAGGGAUGACGGCCU